CACAGAGAGCUUGCUCUCGGGUGACGAGUGGCGGACGGGUGAGUAAUGUCUGGGAAACUGCCCGAUGGAGGGGGAUAACUACUGGAAACGGUAGCUAAUACCGCAUAACGUCGCAAGACCAAAGAGGGGGACCUUCGGGCCUCUUGCCAUCGGAUGUGCCCAGAUGGGAUUAGCUAGUAGGUGGGGUAACGGCUCACCUAGGCGACGAUCCCUAGCUGGUCUGAGAGGAUGACCAGCCACACUGGAACUGAGACACGGUCCAGACUCCUACGGGAGGCAGCAGUGGGGAAUAUUGCACAAUGGGCGCAAGCCUGAUGCAGCCAUGCCGCGUGUAUGAAGAAGGCCUUCGGGUUGUAAAGUACUUUCAGCGAGGAGGAAGGCAUUAAGGUUAAUAACCUUGGUGAUUGACGUUACUCGCAGAAGAAGCACCGGCUAACUCCGUGCCAGCAGCCGCGGUAAUACGGAGGGUGCAAGCGUCAAUCGGAAUUACUGGGCGUAAAGCGCACGCAGGCGGUCUGUCAAGUCGGAUGUGAAAUCCCCGGGCUCAACCUGGGAACUGCAUCCGAAACUGGCAGGCUAGAGUCUUGUAGAGGGGGGUAGAAUUCCAGGUGUAGCGGUGAAAUGCGUAGAGAUCUGGAGGAAUACC
rnacentral:rRNA from 1 species